GCUGAUGCUGGUGGUGACGCCGAUGGUGCGAGCUGGAAAUGGGGUGCUACGUCAUCGUUGUCAUCAUUAUCAUCAUCACC
rfam:Myotis davidii contig208502, whole genome shotgun sequence.